AUUGAACGCUGGCGGCAGGCCUAACACAUGCAAGUCGAGCGGAUGAAGGGAGCUUGCUCCUGGAUUCAGCUGCGGACGGGUGAGUAAUGCCUAGGAAUCUGCCUUGUAGUGGGGGAUAACGUCCGGAAACGGGCGCUAAUACCGCAUACGUCCUGAGGGAGAAAGUGGGGGAUCUUCGGACCUCACGCUAUCAGAUGAGCCUAGGUCGGAUUAGCUAGUUGGUGGGGUAAAGGCCUACCAAGGCGACGAUCCGUAACUGGUCUGAGAGGAUGAUCAGUCACACUGGAACUGAGACACGGUCCAGACUCCUACGGGAGGCAGCAGUGGGGAAUAUUGGACAAUGGGCGAAAGCCUGAUCCAGCCAUGCCGCGUGUGUGAAGAAGGUCUUCGGAUUGUAAAGCACUUUAAGUUGGGAGGAAGGGCAGUAAGUUAAUACCUUGCUGUUUUGACGUUACCAACAGAAUAAGCACCGGCUAACUUCGUG
rnacentral:rRNA from 1 species